rnacentral:lncRNA from 1 species
UAUAUAUGUGUGUGUGUGUGUGUGUAUAUAUAUUCAUUCAUGAAUAUACUCUUAAAUCCUUUUUUAAAAAAGAAUUAUUUUUUAACUGGUGUCUAAGAUAUAUAUAUACACACACACACACACACCAGGUGAUACACUGAAAUUCAUGAUUUUUUUUGGUCUCUUCGAAGAAGAAGAAGAACUGAUUAUACUUAAUAAGAGAGCACAAUUUCACAAAUAUGUUUAUAUAAUAUUAUAGAGAACAUAUUAUUUUGAUUUUUUUUGGUCUUUUGUAUGUAAAAGACAUAGUGAUUUCUCUCUCUCUCUCUCUCUCUCUCUCUCUCUCUCUCUCUCUCUUUUUUGAUUUCUUUAAUUUUUGCCUGUUGAAGAAGAAGAAGAAGAAGAAGAGUAAAUAUUGAAAAAGUGGACACAAAGAUGUUAAAAAGCAAUAUUUAGAAACAGAUAAUAUAUCCAUUCACUAUGUUAUGUCCAAACACACACACACACACACACACACACACAUUAUAUAUAUAUAUUCAUGAUUAUUUGAAAGUCUCAGCUUAUACAAAACAACAACAACAACAACAACAUGCCCAUAUACAUAUACAUGCAGUGCAAUGCAACUCCAUAUAAUAAUAACAAUAUAUGUAGGAAUAUAUAUACAUAUAUAUACAUAUACAUAUGUAUAAAGGAAAAAACAAAAUAAAGUAAUUAAUAAAUUGUUAAACCUUAGGGAAGAGAUUAGGAACAAGAGAUUGUAAGAUGGUGUAGAACUCAGUCAUCUUCUCCCUCCUAUUUCUCUCCAUGUGGAUCACAUCACUCUUCAUGCUGUUACGAUUACUCCGCGUCGACGUCGACGCCGACGCCGACGCCGAUUUCAAGCUCUUGAUCCUCCUCAUGGCCACUGCUAUUGUAUAAUGAGUUAUGUAUAUAUUUAUCUCUCUCUCUCUCUCUAUAUAUAUAUAUAUAGUUCCUUCUUUAUAAACACUAAUCCAAAUUACUUAUGUAAAUAUGUGUGGAGUCCCUUCAAGUAUGACCUAGUUAGAAAAGGGUCCUUACAUAUUUUUUUUUAGUGGGUAAAUUGCACUACUAGCUUGCUUCUGGACUCUGGAGUUUAAGUCCAGAUUAUAUUUUGGUCCUCAAAAUUUUGAUUUUGACGCUCAGGUCCUUGAACUUAUAAUAAUGUUUCAUUUUAGUUCCUGAACUUUAACUAAAGUGGCAUUUUUAGUUUUUUUUUACUUUAGAGUUAAAAUUAUUAUCUGCGCUGGCCUGAUUCAAUUCAUGGUCGUUUAUCGAUCCUUCAUCCAAAUUUAUACUUCGAAUUUAACGGUCCAAUUUCUAAAUAACUAAACAUACAUAUAUGAUUGUUUCUAAUGGAUAGUUGCUUCCAACAGUAAAUAUUUAAUUGAUUUAACAUCAAAAUUAGAAGUUUGAGGAUCAAAAUGAAAUUUAGCUAUAAGUUUGGGGAGUCAUGGUACAAUUUAUUUGUCCUUUUCUUUUAUUAAGACCCCCUCAAUUAGUUGAGUUAUUUAAGUCAAUUACUUAAUUUGAAAUUUUGUUAAUUUAAUCAACUUAUACGUUCAAAGAAACUUAGGUUUUAAUGAAUAAUUAACAUUAAGCAUAUAUACCACUAAAAGCAAUUAAGCACAUACUAACUCAAAUCAAAAUAAAUAAUUAAAAUUGUGUAGCAAUAUAAAAAAAAAUUGCGGGGAUCUAUUUUUAAACAUAAUUUAGUUGAGGGUGCCCCCUGUACUUUUUUAAAAUCCCUCCUCAACUUUCAGAUUUUCAGAUUUUAAUAGUUUUAGUCCAAUAGAUUAAAAAAUAUAUCAAAUUUACCAACAAUUUUAUCAAAUUCACUACUUCUACUCACUUUCUAGCAAAUAAACUGCAAUAAUUAAUUAAUUAAUGGCUAUUAUUAAUAGAACCACCAUAUUUAGAAAAAUUUGAACUAAAAGUUGAAGAGGUCAUUUCAAAAUGGUCUAUUGUUGAGGGAGUUUUCCAUAAAUUUUUUUCCCUAAAAAGCUACUAAAAGGGUAUGAUUAGUUGUGUGCUGUGUUCAGAGUUAGGGAUGUUAAUGGGUCGGAUUCGGGACAGAUUUUGAAAAACCCGAAUCCGAAACCUAACUACCAAACCCGAAACCGAAAUCCAGAUCCGAAUUCAAUGGAUUUUAAAAAUCCAUAUUAAAGCCCAAACCCGACCAAAAAUUCAAAACCCGAAGCCGAGCCCGAACAUGAAAUAAUUAUUUCUUUUUACGAUAUUUCAAAAUACGUCAUAUUAAAUCUAAAUUUUUUAAAUACAAAUUCAAAUACAACAUCAAAUAUUUAUAUAUAUUAUAUAUAAUAUAAAAUAAUUUCGAAUUCUGGUCAGGUUUGGGUUCGGAUCAGAUACAAUAAAAAAUCAUAUCCGAAUUCAAAUCCGUUGAGUUUUCAUUUUUGAUAUUCAUAUCCGAAACUAUUAGCAUCGGAUAAAUUCACUUUGUUCGGGUUCGGGUUCGGAUUCGGAUAAUAUUUCAGGUAUAUAUCCUUAUCCAUUGAUUAAUGAAACCACCAAAUUUAGCAAAAAAUUGAACUAAAAGUUGGUAAGAGACCAUUUCAAAAUUGUCUAUUGUUGAGGGGGGCUUUCCAUAAUUUUUUUCCCUAAAAAGCUAUUAAAAGGGUAUGAUUAGUUGUGUGUUGUGUUGUGGUCAGAGGAAGUGUGGGGGCAUUUUAGGAAACCUGGCACUGUGGUGGGAUUGCUCUCUGAAAUAAGAUUUUUUUUUUUUUUGGUUUCAGAAAAAAAUUUAUUAAAAAGGUCAGUGGAAUGUGCAGUUCCUGGGAGGGCUCAUCAUUAGUUCUGUUUUAGAUUCUUGCUUUUGUUAUUAUUAUUAUUUCUUUUCAUUGUUUCUCUUUUAAUUCUAUAUAAUAAUAAUAAUAUGUAAGGAUUAAGUAGCAAAGCAUGUGUUUUCUUUUGAUAAGAGGCUACUAACCCUUGAUUUUCUUUUAGGGCAUGUUUUUGUUGGAUCGUUGUGUUGACGCUAACCAUUAAUCUCAAUAGCUCGAGCCGUUAGUAAUAAGAUGCAACUAAUUCACUUAAAAUCGUACGGACAAUGUUUACGGUUCUUAAUUGUGACUUAACCCAAACAGCCUCUCGCCGCUUCAAAUAUGAUUCGAUUCGAUCUGCCGUCUCGUCAUUUUAAAUGUGACUCGGUCCAACUCAGCUUCCCGCCAUAUGGUAGAAUGCUGCACCUUUAAGCCCGCAUGCUUGGUCAAGAGGUCAGAGUUGACUUUUGAUGGUAAAAGUCAAAUGAGCACAUCAUAAAAUGUGGUGUGCAUUUUAGUUGGAACAUUUUCAAAAGCUUGUGGGAAUAUGGAGGUGUAGGGUUUUGUAGUUUCUUGGGCUUGAUUCAACCCACAAAUGAAGCCCUAAAUUUGUGGGCUAGUGGGAGGUCGAGAGCUUGAGUUGGUAAAUGGGUGGGCCAGGUCAGGUCGGGUCGGAUCUUGACCCGGUAAAAUACCAAUUCGGUUCAACCCGUAAAACCGGACUAGUUUAAAAUCCGCUUUGAUCUGUUCAUAUCAGUGGUUUAAUCAGUGAACUAACAAACCGACACGGUCUUACAAAAACCGGACGGAUUUUUUUUUUUCAAUUUUAUAUUUUAAUAAUUAAUGAAAAAUACGCAUUAGUUUUUUUAAUAAUCUACACUUUGAAUAUAUAUUUUUAAUUAUAUAUAAUAUAAUAAUAUAAAAAACAAUAUAGAAUAUUAUAUUUGAUAUAUCUAUUUUAUUAUAUAUAGUAUGAAAACUUAAUAAUUAAAUAUUUAUGACGUCAUACUAACGUCAUUCAAACCGGUGGUUGAACCAGUAACUUAUGACUCGGCAAUAUUUUCAAGUCGUAAACAGUUAUGGGUUUUAACAUAUUGGUUUGGGUUGGAUCAUUUUAAGUUUGGGACCAUUUGGGGUCUCAAAACUUUUCGGUUGUUUCGCGUCUGUUCGCAAGUCAGAUCGUUUUCGGCUUCCAAAAGUUAGAUUUGUGCUUGACUCUUCAUUUAAUAAAUUUUCUGAUCACUAACUUCUUAUUUACUUCGAAAAGUGAACCAGCGAACCAGCGUAGCCUAAAUUAACCACCUGGGUAGCUUGUGUUUGACUUUAUAUUUAGCUUAGGGCUAAUAAUUAUUAGGGUAAGUCUUAUAUGUUUGGUCCUCAUACUACGAGUUAGUUAACACUUUAGUUCUCAAAUUUUAAUUUGUUGUUAUAUCUGAUUCAAACUUUUAGAAUUGUUCCAAUCAAAUCUUACAAUCUAAUUUGUUGACGGUCGUGCAUUUAUUAGUAAGGUUGAAAAAAAAUAAAAAAUAAUCUUUAUAUGUGGGGUUUUUGGGGAGCCUCUAAGCUUACUCUCUCUCUCUCUCUCUCACACACACAAAAGAAGAUCAAUCAACCUCUCUCUCUCUCUCUCUCUCUCUCUCACACACACACACACACACAAAAGAAGAUUAAUCAAUCUAACUUUGGCCUUUAAAUGAUGUUUGUGUUCUCAUACAAUCUUAACCUUUUUCAAAUGAACUUGCAUUGAAUUGUUCCUUAACUCUUGUACUUUGAACUCCAUUCUAGGGAAAAGGAAGAGAAAAAGUAAGUACUAAAGUCUACUUAAUUUAGAUAGUCAUUUUAAUUGACAUUAGGGAUUUUGAUGGUUAAGAAUUCUUGAGAUUUAUUCGAAUCCGAAUCUGAAUGGUAUUGAUUCACUUCAGCUAAUACUAAACAUGCAUAAUUUCAUUUAUGUAAGUUUAAAGAACAAAAACCGUACGGGUUCACUUUUGGCUACGGUUCUGUUUAUAUCCGAACCAAACCCGAAACCAACCCGUAUUAAAAGAAGGCGCCCCCUUCCGACUGCACUCCCAAUGGUAGAGGGGUGUUUUAUCGACCAGGGAGGUGUUUAAGUGCGGUGUGUCCUAUUCAAUUGGGAAUGGACAAACCGUUAAUUUUUAGACGGAUAUCUGAAACGACCAAGCUUCCAUACAAACCUUGUUCCCUAGUGUCUACAAUAAUGUUGCGAACAAGAACCUUAAAGUGCUAGACUGUUAGGGAAGGAACGGAUGGAAGUGGAGUAAGAUCUUGUCGGGGUUCUCGCCUUCUUCCCGACAGGACAGAAACCUAAUUCUGAAGCUGAAGGAGUCGAUCUCCAUGAGCCCAUUGCCUGACGAAAAGGACAAGGUUCGGUGGAGAUGGGAAAAGUCUGAUAAGUUCUCCGUCAAAUCGCUUUAUAACUUUUUAUAGGACGGAGGAGUUAAUGACAGGAGCUUUCACCAUUAUGGAAGAUUAAAUCCCCUCUAAACGUUAAGAUCUUCGUAUAGCUAAUCCUGAAAAGGAAGGUGCUCGUUGUGGACAACCUCUUGAAAAGAGGUUGGAUCGGUGCGUCUUCUGUGCGGCAACAAUGGAGACAGCGGAUCACCUUUUCGUAAAAUGCCCUACCACCAAAGACCUAUUGGAGAUUUUGAUGCCAAACAAACGGUCCCUUUUUUUUUUGUUCGUCUAUCAACCAGCUGUGGGAUGACUACAAACUUAAAGGUGGUUCGAUAGGAAUGAGAGAGUUAGCUAUGGUCGUCACCACUUGGUGGGUGAUCUUGCUAGACCGUAACUGUCGUAUAGUUGAGAAAUCCAAAAUCCACCGGGUACCUCUUUGACCAAGAUUCUCUCCCUCAGGGAGUUCUGGGACAGCUUCUGCAUCAGCUAAUGCCGGGAAUCCUACCGACCUAGAAUCUUUUUUUUUUUUUCCUCGAGGCCUUACUGCCUCAGUUUGUAGCCGAGUUUAUAUCCUAAAUGAAUGGAGCGGUAGUUGUCACGCCCCAGGGCCAAUUUUAUAAGCCUUUUUGUAACGAAUACAGAAUUUAGAAACAAGAGUUGCGAAAAAUGUGCCAUUUUUUUUCUUUUUUUUUUUGAAUUCAACCUGGCCCACGUGACGUACAGACCAACCACAAAUACAAAGUUUCUCUGUCCACUCGGACAGAGUCUGUCCACAUCAGGAUCACAGCCACAGUCUAUAUUUACCAAUCCGUAAAUAAUUCAUGCGAUGCAUUUUCAUACAGCUAGCGAUCCUUAGAGAUGAUGCAUGCCUCUAAACACUCCUUAGAUGCUGGAUGAUGCGAUGCACAGUACAACAGUCAUUCUAUUUAAAAGUGCUCCCCAUUCGGAAGUUUUGAUUUUAAACUCUAUUUAAUCAUUCAUAAAAACCAUUUGAAAAUCUUUUUAAAACUGUUUUCCAUUCAGAAACUUUACUUUUGAAAACUGACUACUUUGAGGGGUAGAAAACCACAAUGCGUAAAUACAUAAGUCCGAGGACCAAUUAUCCAUAAAACCAAAACCACAAUUCUAAAAUCUCCAAUCGCACGCAUAAUAGAAAAUCACCAAGUCAACCAGUUCACAAAUACUCAAACAGUAGUAUUGAUCAUCUAAUUGAACCAUUUAAUUAUAUAAAUUACUAAUGCGGAAAUAAAACAUAACCAGGGUUACGGCCACUACUGUAGCCUAGCUAGGACGUCCAACCGUCGCAUCAAGAAUCAACUCCUCGGCCGAGUCACCUGGGGAAAUGGGGGGUGAGAAACCACAAUCAAGAUUUUUUCAGUGGGUAUGACAGAACCACGAAGGCAAAUCGUAUUCACUAGAAAACAAAGAAAAUGGAACAACAGAUAUAUGUGUGAUAUAAGAAAAACUACAGUAGUAAUAGAAGCAGAAUAGUAAAUAAGCAAGAACCGAACUAAUACUGUAACAAAAACUCGAUUGAACAGAUGCCUCAAGGGUAUAUAGUCCAAAUCAAACCCAAUCUGGUGCCUGUUAUAUUGGUCCGUAGACCUCAAGCGUUGUCUAUCACAGAGCAUACACUUACAUUGAUUCAUGCGUCCACCGACGACCUAUCCGGAUAAAUACACCCCCCGGUUGGUGGCCAAACCAACCGGUGUCUAGAAUAUACAGUGCUGUGACUAAAUCAUGCUAAUAUGCUCAAUACGAAAACUGGCAAGAAGACCAGUGCUUUGGCCGAAGCCAGAUGCAAGGGCGUACAAUGCCGAACCACGAUCAAUUAGAUCGAACACACGACAAAGGAGUUGAUGUGUUGCCUGGAUCCAAGGUCCACAGAUAUACAACAUAUGUAAGCCUGCUCUACAUGUCUAUCAAUAACUUAUCAUCAUGUAAGCAAUAAGAUAUAGAUGAACGAACGAUAAACAAAGGUAACCGACAUGUAGAGACUACGAUGCUGAUAUAGAAGAACAGAGAAAAGCGAAACGAUCUCACCGACUACCAGCUCGAAGCACCCAUCUGUCACUAUCGCGUCGGAAACCUGGGUAUGCAACAGGCCAACCGGACCUACGAAGAUCCACCGGAUUAGUACCCAACCCACAAACCCAAAAUACAUUACUCACAAACCCCAUACCAAUCCCCGAAAUCGGUUUUCUUAAACUAAUUACCGUAACUCACCGGAAGUCCCGAAAAUCACACCGGACGCCGUCGGGACUUACUAUGUGUCCCGAAACUCACCGACUCAUGCCACGAGUCACCCACUGCCACAAAACACACCAAUUUGGAUGUCUUGGCAGCAAACACAAGAUUACACAACUAAACAAUUAUCGUUGGAUAAUUGUUCGGAUCCAAGUUCCCGGAAGUGUCCAUUUCGACACCAGAACCCACCGUCGCUCAUCCGUCAUCUCCAAACCCAUGAUAAGACGAUGGUGACCAGCCGACAAGGCUCAGCGACAACUCUCAGGGCAAACAAACACCGUUGGAUGAAAUCUGAACUGAAACCGUGUUCCGCCAGCGAAUUUCGCCGAAGUACGCACCGAAAUCGACCUAAACUCGCGCGCGAGGACGACAGGAAUCGACCGGGACGGUCGUCGGGGCUUCGGGGGAGGGCGGCUCGGCCGUCCCUAGGUGGUGGCGGCGCGACUUAUGGGAGCUAAAGCUCGCUCGGCCCGAGUUGGCCCAGUCCGACCGCAAGCUGCCUGGGCGGCAGCGGCGGCUCGCAGGGGCUGCGGCGACUGGCGGGGGAGGUCGCCGUUGCUCCAGGGGAGGCGCUGGUGAGGGGCCGGAGGGGGAAGGACACCUCACUUGCUCUCGGCAGGGAUGGGAAGCCGAGUGCAUGCAAUGUGAGGGAGAGGGAGAGAAAGAAAGCCUUCUCCGACGGUCGGCGGCGUGCGCAGGCAGCGUGGGCAGGCGGCUGGGGCGCGCGCGGCUGUGACACCCCAAUAGUCCCACAUCGGAUGGGAAAGGGGUUGUCAUUGGGUUUAUAAGAGACUUAGACACUAGUAAUAAUAACUGGGCUUAAGCAUUUUGGGCCGGUUGUUGGGCCCAACGAGUUAUUGUUGCUAGUGGCUGGGUCGUUACAGCGGCGCACUCAGGGAAGGGAGCAGAAGCGGCUGGGAGUCAGCUGGGGGCUAGGGUUAGGGUUUCCCUGGAGCAAAACCCUAGAAGACUAUAUAUACAUAAGGUAAAAAUGCACAAUAGUCCCCGAAAAACCCCAUGUUUAGAACCGAGUCCCUUACGGCGUGAGUAAAACGCACGAAUACUCCUCCAUGCCCGAUCUCUCGCGAAACGGUACAUAAAAUGUCGAGCUUUUUGCAAAAUUACCGUUUUGCCAUUAAUGACCCCUCCUCGAUUAACGCACGAUAUCCGGAGAUCCGUCUGUCAGAUUUGUGAACGGAUCACACCAGUACGAUCAGCAUGAUAGAGAUAACAAACUCACAAUUUUGUUUCGCCUCGUUUGGUUACGGAUUCGCGACAAAACCCAUCAUCUCUCGAAAUGGCGAAAUUACACACAAAUACAUAUAUAAUAUAUGUAUUUCCAUAUUUCUCAAAAUCCAUGCAUCAAACCUAAAAUCCAUCGGCGUCAAUGAUUCCAGAAUAGCCAAAUCAUUAAAAACGAGCUAUUGGAUCGUUAUGAACGAAGUCCGAUACGUGCUAGAAGCCAUCUUUACACUUUGGCCUCUCCGGAAACUCAGGUUACUAUUCACUUUAAGUAAAAAGUAAAGAUCGCGUAAAAACUCUAUUCUAACUCAUUUUGCCCCGAAACUUGAUGAGUACUUUUGUAAUUAAAUUACACACAAAAACAUCGUCAACGGAGAGUUUAGCUACACUGCCAAAAUCUCAGUCCUUACAGUAGCAUGCUACUUUUUCUAAAAAAAAAACUUAUAUUAUAUGCACAUAAUAUAAUUUCUUAGAUAUUUAUUUUGAUAAUUUAGUUUAAUAUUUAGUAAAUUAAAUAAUCGGGCUCGAUUUUAUAAUUUCAUAUAUGGGUUUCAGUAUUUUAUUCUGGUACGGUUUCAUAUUUGAAUUUUUAUUCUAGAUCGGAUUCGAGUAUGAUUUCAAAUUUCGUUUUUUUAUUCGUGCCUGGUUUUGGAUUUUGUAACAUAUAUGUAGGAGAAAAUCUAUCUGUGUAACACUCACACCAUAUCAUCUAUGUCUAAUCAAUCAUAUCUCUUCUUUUGAGAGAAUAGUACAAUAAAAAUAUUUUUUUUAAAAAACCAUGAUAAGAUGACUGAACCCUAAGGAAACUUUUUGAUUGGUUGGGAUCACUACAUAAGCAAUAUAAGUGUUGCAUUAUAAAAUUUUCCCGAAUGGAAGGACCUAGGUGGCUACAUAUAUGUAUGAAAAACUCUAGAAUAUAAUACUUAUAUUGCUGAUGUGCAGACCGCACCAAUCAAAAAGCUUUCUUGGGGUUCACCCAUCCUAUCAUGACUUUUGGAAAAUUAUUUUUAUUGUAUUUUUUUUCUUGAAAAAAUAUAUUAUUAAUUGGGAACAGAUGACGUGGUACAAGUAUUAUACAAUAGAGUUUCUCCUGUAUUUGGCCUUGUACUUUUCUCUCUAGGAUCUUCCAAUAAUUGUGGAAGAAGCCAAAUAGUUGGAAACAUUGUGACAUAACCUGCCUUGUACGAAACCAUCAAACUUAUUUAUUUUUUUCUCCUAUGAUUAGUCAAACAUUUCACACAUCCUUGAAAACUUUUUUCAUGGAUAAUGCUAUGCCUAGGACACUUUUAUCUCUCUAUCAUGAAAAUUUAAGAUUUGAUUGGUGAAAGCGAUACAUGAAAAACGGGACGGAUCCUUGGAGGGAGUAUCUCACCUUUCGCUUUAUUUUUUAUCUGAUUAUAAUAGAUUUGGAGCGAGUUAAUCUUAAUAUUAUUUUUGGCCCUUAUUAUUUUAUUUGGAACAGAUCGCACUGAGACAAAUUUUUGUCGAACAUUUGGUGACGUGAAUCGAAGUGGAUUAAAGGACGAAAGAGGUCUCCCGUCUUCCACUUCAUUUACUUGACAGAUCAAGACAGAUUCGAGGUGAGUUAUAUUUUUUUUAUAUAUAUUUUUGGUUUCGGGACGAGAAUUCUUCAACCUGACUCUAUUUGUGUUUCUAGUUAGAACUAUGGACUACUUGGAUUUGACUAUUCAAUAUUUUAAAAUUUUGAUUUUACUAUUUAACUUUCCAAUUUAUUUGAUUUGAGUCUAUGAACGACACUCUGACUAUAAAAUUUAAGCUAAUUAUUUAUUUUAAUGAACUUAUAACUGUGAGAAUUGUACGAAAUUUAUAACUAUAUAUUUUUGUGAAGAUAAAUAAUAAAUUCAAAUUUUGAAGUCAAAGUGUAAAUCAAAUAAAUUAAAAGGUUAAGUAACCAAAUCCAAAGCGUCCAUAAUUUUAGUAAGUUUCAUACAUUUUUAUCCAAAAAAAAUGUUAUUAUAAGAAUGAUUUUUUGACUACGCUUUGAAAAUGCGUCCUCAAGUGUCCACACUAUAUAUAGAGCAACUAUAACGCUUCAAAAAAUAUCAUUGUACAAAGCAAGAUAUCUUCACCGUUCCCUACUGUUGCAAAUCAAUUUAUUGAAAGAUUAAUUGUACUAUUAUUUUAAAUUUUUCGAUGCUUUGAAGCGUCAGAAUUUUUUAUUUUUCUCUACUUUAAAGUGUCAGAAUAUAUUUUAGUGAUGAAUGACAUAAACAUCGGUAUGUAUGUGGCAACUCUUUAUUUGCCGACGCUGUCCGUGAUCUUUUUUGUGUGACGAUAAACUAGUUUAAAAUGCAUUUAUACACCGUUACUUACUGAAAAAUACAUUCUUAAAUGUUGUUUUUCUUGUAGUGUCUAAGGCUUAGUUUAUGAUUGUAUUGUCAAAUGUAUAUCUCCUUUUAUGUUUUAAAUUUAAUUAUUAUAAGGCCUAAUUUGAAACUAGGUUGCCAAAUAUAUUUGUUUUUUAAUACUUUAUAUGCCAUUAUGAGUUGCUAAAAGAAUGCAUUACAUGUAGCAAGAAUGUAUGAAGAAGUCUGUAUUUUUGGCAAGUUAUAUCACCAUAAUUUUUAUGUUCUGAAUUGCUAAAAAAAUGCAUUAUAUGCAGUAAAAAAAAAAAAGAAAAACUUCAAAUACCGGUCUUGUGGUUUUUUUUUUUUCACUUUAGUACCAUGUGGUUUAAAGUAUAUCAAGUUAGUACUCUGUGGUUUCUCACUUUACACUUUAGUAUCCUGUGGUUUAAAGUGUAUCAAGUUAGUACCCUGUGAUUUCGCACUUUAUCACUUUAGUACCCUGUGAUUUUGCACUUUAUCAUUUUAGUACCCUGUGGUUUAAAAAUCAUAGGGUACUAACUUGAUACAAAAUAAAAUCACAGAAUACUAAGUUGAUACAAAAAUAAAAUCACAGAGUACUAACUUAAUACACUUUAAACCAUAGGGUACUAAAGUGAUAAAGUGAGAAACCAUAGGGUACUAACUUGAUACACUUUAAACCACAAGGUACUAAAAUGAAAAGUGCAAAACCACUGGGGUGAUUUUUGAAGAUUUUCCAAAAAAUAUGAAGAGAAUUUAUUUUUUAUAAUUUUAACAAGCAACAUCACUGCGAUAUUUAUGAUUAGACUAUAAAAUAGAAAAUAUAUAUAUCAUUAUAUUCUUCAUUAAUACAACUACUUUUGGCCUAAUUAUAGCCCCUAGGUAGCUAGCUUUUAAUGCCACAGUGACGUUCAACGGUCCCCAUUUUUUUAAAAAAUAUAUAUACCAUUCUAAUUCUUAUUUAAUUUGUUUUUCCUAUAAUGUCAUUUAUAUUGACAAUGGCCUAUUUAACAAAAUAUAGGAUUAAAUACAUUCAGAUCUCUACAAAUAUAAUAAAUUAUAAAUAUAUUUUUAUAAAGUUCAGCUUUCAUAUAUUGUUCCUAUAAAAGUUCUAAUAUUUUUAAAUAUAUCUUUCUAGUUUAUUACCGUUAUAGAUUAUUUAUGUUUUAACAAUAAAUAAGGGAAAUGUUAAUUUUGUCUUCAUAAAUAUAUUUCUUUAAAAGUCAUAAAAGUAUAAUAUAAGAGGGGUAAAAAUAUAUGAAAGUUGAACUUUGUAGAGAUAUAUUUGCAAUUUACUAUAUUUGUAGAGACCUGCAUGCAAUUAAUCCUAAAAUAUAAUUACAUGAUAGAUAAAGAAAGGCCAAUUUGCAUAAAAAAUCUAGUAAUUNUUUUUUUUUUUUUUUUUUUUUUUCUCUUGUUCUUUUUUUCUUUCUCUUCCCAGAGAGCGGCAAAGGCGGAAACGCCACCCCCCCUGCCCCGGCGAUGUUGCCCUCGCUCGCUUUGGCGACGUUGCCGGCGACGAGCCCGGCUUCCCCGCCUCGACCUCUCCCCCGACCCCUCCUACCGCGCUCUCGCCCAGGCCUUCUGCCGCCACGGCCAGGCCCGCUCCGCCGCCUCCCUGCUCGACGACAUGCUCCACCGGGGUCUCCUUCUUCCUUCUCCUUCUCCGUUGGCGCGCCAACGCGAGACGACAACGGAGGGAUUCGGACUCGGCCCGGAGCCAGUCAGAGUGGCGGGGGAGGAACGUGGAGAGGUGGGCGGCACCGCCGAGCCACUCGGCGAGCUCACGGUUCUCAGCGCGGAGGCGCGCGAGGCGGCUCCAGAGCUCCUCGAGGUGGAAGAAGGAGGAAAAAAAAAAGAAGAAGAAUAAACCGAGGGGAAGAAGGAUGAAGAAAAAAAAAGAGAAUAAACUGAGGGAAAGAAGAAGAAAGAAGAAGAGAAUAAAAAAUAGUGUAAAUUUCACUCAAAUAGUACAACGUUUGUCUAAAAAGUGUAAUUUUUGUCAUCCCAAAUGGUGUAAAUUUUACCUAAAUAGUGCAACGUUCGCCUAAAGAGUGCAACUCUCGUCCCAAAGAGUGUAAUUCUAUCUCAAAUAGUGUAAAUUUUAUAUAAAACAGUGCAAUUUUUUUUAAAAUUGCACUCUUUGAGACAGAACUGUAUUGUUUGGGUGAAAUUUACACCAUUUCUCUUUUUUUUUUGUUCUUCCUCCUCUUUCUCCUCCUUCUCCUUCAAUGCUCGCCAUGUACAAGAACCCCAACCAUGGCUCGUCCCAUCCCAGCACCCCUGUCGCAGCAUCACUCCCUGUGAUGCCCCAACUUCCCAGGGGGUUACCCAUCCUAGGACUACUCCCGUCCUAGCACGCUUAACUCUCUUAACCUCUUGGGCCUUGCCACCACCCAAAAUGCUUAAGCCGGGUUAAGAGUUUAGCCAUAUUAUAUCUCACAUAUAGGACUCUCUGGGGUCUCACACUCCCUCACCCACAAGGGCCUCAAAAUCCGUGCUUACUACAGAGCGGCCAUGGGAAACGGUGGAGGAAAAAUGGCGCUCGCCGUGGUGCUCUUCAUGUUGGGGAGCGUCGAGGUGAGCGUGCCGGCAAGGGCGACGCCGGAGAAGGAGGAGGGGGCUGGCGGUGGGUUUGGCCAUGCCGUGGGUGGUGAUAUUGGUGGCGGGAUUGGGUCGGCGGGGAGGCCGCGGUGGAGCAUGUCGUCGAGCAAGGAAGCGAUGGAGCGGGCCUGGGCGAGGGCGCGGUAGGAGGAGGGGUCGGGGGAAAGGCCGAGGCGAGGGAGGNCGUGGUGGAGCAUGUCGUCGAGCAAGGAAGCGAUGGAGCGGGCCUGGGCGAGGGCGCGGUAGGAGGAGGGGUCGGGGGAAAGGCCGAGGCGAGGGAGGCAGGCUCGUCGCUGGCGACGUCGCCGGGGUCGGGGGGUGGCGUUUCCGCCUCCGCCGCUCUCUGGGAAGAGCAAGAAAAAAGAACGAGAGAAAAAAAAGAGGAAGGAGAAAAAUGUACAAGGGUAUUUUAGUUAGUUUGCUGAAAAAUCGGACCGAAUCUGCAAAAACGAAAAAGAUAGCCCACUUAUGCAAAAGCCCAAAAUUAGUGGAUUUUUAUGCAAAUUAGCCAUAAAUAAAAUUCUUUAUCCCCGAUUUAUUUAUUUAUUUAUUUUUCCUCAAAUGAUGGUUUUGUUUUACUAUAUUUGUAGGGACCUGCAUGCAAUUAAUCCCCAAACACAAUCUCCUUAAAUCAUUUCGAGCCGAACAUAAUCUCCCUAAAAUCUGUACGGAUCAGUAGUAAAUUUUUUCGAACCCAGAAAAUUUGAUUUGGUUUGAGAAUCGCCAAAAAAUCAAAUCCAACACAACCGAUUACACCCCUACUGAGAUGAGCCACCACUUAUUAGGGCGGUCAACGAGCUGAACAAGAGCGAGCUCGUUAAAAUAUUGAGUUGAUAAAUCCAGCUCGUGUUCGACUUAUUUAUUAACGAGUCGAACAUGAGAUCGCUCGCGAACAGCAAGUUAGAUUGUCAGCCUUACUGCUGGGGUAAAAAGUUGAAAGAAAAUUAGAAAAUUAGAAUCUUAAUCUAAUGAUUAAUUUACAAAAUAUCAGUCUCUUUACAUUUAGAAUGGCCUAAAAUUCAAAUAUUACUAAUUUCUAAGAUAUAUAUAUAUAUAUAUAUAUAUAUAUAUACCCAAUUAUAUAUAUUAUAUAUAGAGAGAGAGAGGAGAGAGUAGAGAGAGAGAGAGAGAGAAAGAAGAGAGAGAGAGUCCGGCUACUAGUAGCAAGCGCUUGUACUAUUGAAUUUUCUACCGUUAGAUCUACCCUUUGAUCAUUUUCAUCCAUUAGAUUAUAUUAUUAAACCAACCACCCACUCAACCUAGAGAACCAAUAUCAAUUUAACUGGGGACCACUAUCAUCUUAACCGCACAUCCUUUUCAUCAACGGCCGCAAAACUCAAGUACCAAGGGCUUGGUACUAUUGAUAGUAUAGUAGCAUAAUUAUAUAAUAAUAAUAUAUAUAUAUAAUAUAUAUAUAUAUAUAUAUAUAUAUAUAUAUAUAUAUAUAUAUAAAACUAGCGUGGAAUACUAUCAAUUGCACCAAACUAUUGGUGCUAUUAGUUUUGAGCUCUUGGAUUGAAAAAUAUGCGGUUAGGAUGAUGUGGCCCCCAGGGUGAGUGGGUGGUAAUUGAAUAGUAUAAUUUAACGGAUAAAAAUAAUCAAAGGGUUAAAUCUAACGGGUGAAAAACUUGAUAGCACCAAAUCCUUGGUGCUAUCGAUAGUAUUCCAGCCGGACUCUAUAUAUAUAUAUAUAUAUAUAGAGAGAGAGAGAGAGAGAGAGAGAGAGAGAGAGAGAGAGAGAGAGAGAGAGAGAGGCUACUAUGUUUCUAGCACGGAGCCUUCCGUGCUUCCAGCUUGUUUUCCAUAUUGCGACUUUCGAAUUGUCGAUUAGCUCCGUUAAAUUUGAUCUAGAGUAUUUGAAGUAUCUAGAAAAUAAAUUAUGCGAUUUUUCGAUAUUAUUUGCCUAGUGAACAAAGGGGUUCAAAAUCAACGGUUGAAAAUAAAAAUCUUACAAAACGUGAUAAUAUGACAUUAAAAAUCAGCGGCUGAAAAGAAAAAUCUUACAAAACGUGAUAAUAUGACAUUAAAAUUUUAGAUCAAAGAUAUUAAUCUUGUUUUAUAUAGUAUAAAAAAUUUUCUAUCAAAAUUUCACAUGAUUUGGAUAUUUCUAUACCGUUAAACUUGCAAAUGGCUCACUACGGCCUUUAAAAUUAUUGAUUUUGAGCCCCUUCAAUCACUAGGAAAAUGAUAUCGAAAAAUCAUAAAAUUUAUUUUCUAGGUACUUCAAAUAUUCUAGAUCAAGUUUAACGGAGCCGAUCGACGAUUUAAAAGUCGCAACAUCGAAAAUGAUGUGGAAGCAUGGAAGGCUCCGUGCUUCUAAAAGCAUAGUAGCCUCACUCUAUAUAUAUAUAUAUAUAGUUGAGCCUGAAUACUAUCGAUUGCAAACUGGCUCCGUUACCACCCAUUUGUUUUGAACGAUAGAGCCUCCAAAUCGACGAUCGGCACCGUUGAACAUGAUCUGUACCACUUGAAAUGUUUAGAAAUCAAAUUUCAUAUAUUUUUAUCGACUAUAUAGGGUCGAAUACAAGUGAGCCGAUCCCAGAUCGCGUUCGGCUCGUUAAGAUUUUGAGCUAAAAAAUUUAACUUAUAUUUACUUAUUUAUUAAACGAGAGAUCUAUUUUGAACUCAUUUUGAGCCGAACACCGAUGGGAAUAGAAUAUUAUCCUACAUAUCUGGAUAAGUCCAAACUUAUUAAUAACAGCAUUUUGUUUCAGGGUCAAACAAACAGGUAAGGCAUUGAAUUCAUAUCUCCAAAAGCAUUUAAUGCAGCGAGUUGGACUGGGCUACUAUUAGUAGCAAAAUCCCAUUGUUGCUAUCAGUUUUUUAGCCUUUGGAUCAACUCUUUUCAUUAUUUCUAACCAUUGGAUUAAAUACUAUAACCCAGUGGGCACCACUCAACCCUAGGGGGACCACUCAACUCUAACCGACUAAUAUCAUCCUGACCCUACAAUUUUUCAUCCAAGGAUUAAAAACUUGGUAGCAAAAAGAACGUUUUACUAUUAAUAGUAUUCCAGUAUAAUUCUUAAUGCAGUUAUAUAUACGUGUAUAUUUUUUAUUCAUUAUUCAUAGAAUAAUUGAUAUAUAUAAUAUAUAGAUAUAUUUUAU